rnacentral:rRNA from 1 species
UACGUAGGGGGCAAGCGUUGUCCGGAAUCAUUGGGCGUAAAGCGCGUGUAGGCGGCCCGAUAAGUCCGCUGUGAAAGUCCAGGGCUCAACCCUGGGAUGCCGGUGGAUACUGUCGGGCUCGAGUCCGGAAGAGGCGAGUGGAAUUCCUGGUGUAGCGGUGAAAUGCGCAGAUAUCAGGAGGAACACCAAUGGCGAAGGCAGCUCGCUGGGACGUGACUGACGCUGAGACGCGAAAGCGUGGGAAGCAAACAGG